UCUUAUUCAGAGAGGCGGAGGGAAUUGGCCCUAUGAAGCCUCGGCAGCGGGUUCUGUGCGAAACAGAAUACUGUGCCAACUCCAACAAGCCGAUAUUAGGCUUGGAAGAUAAGA
rnacentral:ncRNA from 1 species